UAUAUAUAUAUAUAUAUAUAUAUAUAUUUAAAACAGCUCGGGAGUUAUACCCAAAAGUUAUACCAGGAGGCUUUCUAAUUGAACCUGUAAGUAAAAACCUAGACCCCUGAAACCCUACUGUGCAUGAAAAAUCAAGAAAUCAAGAUUCCUGGUGCUCAGGCGGGCCGCGUAAAGAAUAGGCAGAAGGUCACGCGGGCCGCAUCAACAUGUGUUUGACCGGAUAAGCGUUCCCAGGCCACGUGGCAUCCACCUGGCAAACCUACUGGUGACCCAGUAACCCUACGCGUAGACUAGGUCACCACGCGGGCCGCGUAAGGGUCGAGCCAAGGCACACGCGGGCCGCGUGAGACCCAAUUUCCAGCUAUAAAUAGAGCGGGUCUUGAGCAAUUCACUGGUGUCGACGAAACUUUCAAAAUCAAUCAUAUUCUGCUCAAAUUUUACCUUCAAAUUGGUAGGGUGCUACUACGAUAUAGGGUAAUUACAGUAGAUCGGAAUAAGAGCUGGAUACGGCACCAAAAAGGCUUAUAGAAGUGGCUUGAUUUAUCAGUUAAUUAAAAUUAAGAAAAGUUGUUUUAUGUAAUCGGGUUUAUCCCAUAUUAAAAGCUACCUUUAUGAAAUGUGGGUUUAUCCCCAUCUGUGUAAAUAAAUAAAAUCCGGUGUUUCUAAAACUCUAAUAUUUUUCCUAACUCACGGUCCUGAUGAAAUUUCCGCUGCAAUGUUUUUAAAAUAACCACCGGUACCACUUGGCUGCUCACGGCUCCCGAUUCCGUCCAGGGUGGGGUCGGGGGUCGUGACAACCAUUAAUCUAGUUUGGACCUAGGUACAGAGGGUUAGAUCCAAUGUGUUUUGGCAAGCCCCACUCUUGGUCGUAGACCCAUACAGAAGAGUGCGUUUGUGUCCCAGUCGAUGGUAGUCGACACGAAAUCGUCUAGGUUUGGAUUGCUUCCUAUUUCAUCACACAUAUUAAUGUCCUUGCAAAACAUUAAUGAUCAACGAUUUCAUUUGAUGCUUUACAUACUACAACUUACAUUUUAAAUACAUCUUUUAUAACUAACUGCAUGAAUUCGCCAACUUUUGUUGAUGUUUUCCAAACUUAACAUGUAUUUCAAGGAAUUAAUGGACCAUGUCGGGAUUCAUAGUCAAGAUAACAAGUACCGGAACUCCAUGCCAUCUUUUGGAGGGUUUAUCUAUUAUAUCCCGCCUCUUUGCGGCGAUAUGAUGGUUUAAACCUUAGUAGUUUUUUUUCAUUUUGAUGUAUGAAACAAUAACACUUUACUUUUAUGUUAAUGGUUUGUAACCGAAACACUAAACUCAUGAUGUAAUGUUUUGAAACACUUAUGUAAUGGCAAUGGAGUAUGUUUUAUUCA